AAUUACCCAAUCCUGACACAGGGAGGUAGUGACAAGAAAUAACAAUACAGGGCUUAAAGUCUUGUAAUUGGAAUGAUGGGAAUCUAAACCCUUCCCAGAGUAUCAAUUGGAGGGCAAGUCUGGUGCCAGCAGCCGCGGUAAUUCCAGCUCCAAUAGCGUAUAUUAAAGUUGUUGCAGUUAAGAAGCUCGUAGUUGAAUUUCUGCCUUGUCAUUAAUCUCGCUUCCGAGCGUUUUUUUAUUGACUUGGCAUCUUCUGGAUUUGGUGCCUUCGGGUACUAUUUUCCAGGAUUUACUUUGAGAAAACUAGAGUGUUUCAAACAGGCAUUCGCCUUGAAUACUACAGCAUGGAAUAAUGAAGUAGGACUUUGGUUCUAUUUUGUUGGUUAUUGAGCCAGGGUAAUGGUUAAUAGGAGCAGUUGGGGGCAUUCGUAUUUAA
rnacentral:rRNA from 1 species